UACGUAGGGGGCAAGCGUUGUUCGGAAUUACUGGGCGUAAAGGGCGCGUAGGCGGCUCUGCAAGUCGGGAGUGAAAGCCCGGGGCUCAACCCCGGAACGGCUCUCGAAACUGCAGGGCUUGAGUGCGGAAGAGGCAACCGGAAUUCCCAGUGUAGCGGUGAAAAUGCGUAGAUAUUGGGAAGAACACCUGAGGCGAAGGCGGGUUGCUGGGCCGACACUGACGCUGAGGCGCGAAAGCCAGGGGGAGCGAACGGG
rnacentral:rRNA from 1 species